CCAGGCUCCAUCGUCAGAAGGUUCCACUUACUGCAGAACUCUGUCUCCAGAGAGCGUGGAUUCUAACUAGUUUUUUUCCACCUCUAAAAAAGUGGCUAGCUCAUCAUUAUUGUCCUCAUUUUUUAGGAAGGAACCACAUGUGAAACCACUUACCUGUUUAACCCUAUGAACUUGAAGAGAACAUGUAAUGCCACUUAAAAUACCUAAGCUCGGGUUCUGCCUUCAGCGACUCCUGGUAGUAGUGCCCUUAUGAGCCAUUUAUCAAGAAGGCUUUAAGAUACAAGAUACUUCAAUGAAUAAAACAAAGACCUUUGCUUUCCUGAAACUUGAGAUCAAAUGGAGGACACACAAAAACAACGCACCUACAAAUCACCAUAUUGUGUGUCAGGAGCUGAGGAUGCUAUGAAAACCCCUUGAGGAAACAAAGGCACCUUGGGGGCCAUUGAGAACUCCUGACGAAGAGGGCUCAGCUGCCAGACCUGCUCAAGAAAGACCUCAGAAAUCUCUAUGGGGCUGUCAGAAGAAAAGGUUUGAAAAGGGUCUGGAGAGACUGAAAUUUGUCUGCCUUGGACUUUUCUUUUGACAAUUCACAUCCAACUUAAGCAGAAUCAUUGUUUAUUCUUAUUAUGCCAGGUUUCCUUUUCUGGUCUGCAGGUUCUCUAGGGUUUCAUAGGCUAGUAGUUGGAAUUUUCAUAUUUCCAAAGCAUUGGGGAUUUUGCAAAAACAAAAUCUAAAGGAUAUUCAGCAGCACAGUUUACUUAGGAGGUUUUAAUCAUAAUAAUCUGCAUAAUGUAUGAGAAUUUCUACCUCA
rnacentral:lncRNA from 1 species